rnacentral:lncRNA from 1 species
AGGGAAGAGGCCAUGCAAUAUACUGAAUCAAUCAAAGGAACCUACUUUGAAACAUCUGCUUUAAAUGAUGAUGGUAUUGAAGAUGUUUUUCUGAAUGUAGCUGUUGGUUUGAUCAAAAUGAGUAAAAACCCAAAUCUAAAGCAUAGUCUGCGGGUGUACAAUUCUGACAAUGCGCCCAAUCCAUACCUAGACGAUGCAGGAUUAACACGCUACGGUCUUUCCAGUAUAGAAUUGAACGAACCUCUGGGCAGUGAAGCAAAGUCUCCGAUGUGUUGUUAACUUUAAGUAUUAUCUUUUCUCUUCUAUUUUAAUGUAAUGUUCUCUUCCUCACUUUCCUUGUCAUUGUACCUAUGUCAAUGACUUGACUGAUAUUGCAAUCUUUAAUCUUUUCAAUUGGACUACAUUUUGCAGUAAUGGAUUCCCAUUUCUGAUUCAUUAGUAGAAGCACCUGUCUGCAUCCUGCAUAGAGACAUUUAUGGUGUAUGAGUUUCUUUUUAAAAUGAGCAUGAAGUAGUAACUCCUAAUUACAAAAUUUAGUCCGAUUUCUAUUUCAUUUUAGCAACAUUCUGAUCUUCAAAGGAAAGCAUUUGUGACAUAUUUGUGACAUUCCAAGAGAGCUACUGCAUUCCAAAAACAGUAUCUAAAGCUGAGAGCACAUGUUUUCUCAUUGAUAUUUUGAGCAGAAUACAUUGAUCACAUCAAAAACUCCCAAAAUUAACUUGCUAGUGAUAAAUGAACGUCUGUAGUUAAAAAAAUUACUUGCAGGCCUAAUCAACGUAGGUCACUUCAGGCAUUGAAGUCAACCUGUACGUUUGUCAGAUAACUAAAACUUGUCUUCACACACAUUUCUUCCCCCUCUAACACAAGGUACCUUUAAUCUUGUAAAAAAAAGAAGUUAGUACACAGGAAGAUUCUCCCAUCGUAAAAUAUACUGAAAUUAGUCUAGUGCUGGAUUUGACUUGAAAAGAUACAAGUUUUCCCGUGGGCGAGAAGUGUAGAUUAACGUAAACAAAAAUCAUCAUUUUCUCACCAAUGGACUGAUUUCGGAAAAUUUCAAUGCAUCCAUUGUAUUAUCAGUAAAAUGUUGAUGUGGAAAAAAAACAGGAUGAUCCAAGAGUCCCCCACCAUCCUUGUAAGCCUUAGGAUUCCUGCUUUUUUUCAGGCAGGUCCUCCAAAAAUUUUGGAGGGUUCCAAAAGUCGUUUAUCUUACCCAGGAGCAAUUGUAAAAUUUCAAGUCUAUUUUUGAUUAGUCUUUCUCUAUCUUGAUUUGUUAAAAAAAAAAAAUCAGGGGCGCAAGUGAUGCCUGGCACUAGUGGAGCGGGAAUUUUGGAUCAUCCUGUAUUUUGAUGCUUCAUUUUGUAGUCUGCCUAGUAGUCCAUUACCGCUUUCCUAUCCUUUUGUAUGUAUUAAAAAAUAUUGAAGUGUAACUUUAUUAAAGAAUGGAGCUUACCUUAAAUUUAUUUUACUUUAUCUAUUCUUUUGAAUUAUCAUUUAUUUUUAUAGAUCUGAUAAAAUUAAUUUUCUUGCUUUAGACUAAGGAGCGGUGUUCAAGAGGUUAGAUAUUGAUUCUUUUACGUAAUAAGAUAGUAUUUUUGAAGUUUCUGGCUUAAUUAAUACAGAUUCUUUUUGUGAGAAUGUCAUCGGAAACUGUAAUUGCAGCUGUUGUAUUUCUUUGUCUUGUUUUUUUUUGGUGAGACACAACUUUUAGUAUCCAGAGUAAAGGUUGAAAAAAUUAUUGCAGUCAACUCUGAAUUAUUCGAAAUUCAAAGGACCAGAGACUAAUUAUUUGAAAUCAAGGGAACAAGGAAGUAGAAAUUGAAUUCGAGAGCUCUUUACAAAUUUUCUUCCAUUGUUUAUGUAUUACAAUGAAUGAAAAGUGCUGUACGUCGUCCUUUUGUUAUUCUGGGAAACUAAGCAGUUUUCAGUUGACAGAGAGCCAAUUUGAUAUCUUCUCAAAGUUGACCUGCCAACAUUUUCGGGUCAUAGAGAGUUCCGCUGUAAUAUGUUCAAUUACCAAGGUAAUUUGUCUACAUUAGCCCUAUAAAAAAUUUGAAUAAUUCAGGGAAAAAAUACAUAAAUUUAUUUCAAACUAUCAUGGUUUUUAAGGAAAUAUCAGUUUACUUUAUACUAAUGAGAGUUUCAAAUUAUUGAGUGUUGACUGUAAUGUUUUGAAAUUUUAUGCUCACAUGGGUCACCCUGAAAAUUGAGUAUUCAGUGGACUUUCUCUCAGAAUUUCAGUAAACUCCCUAGUGCCAAGUAUGUAAACUAACGUAUCUUUCCCAUGAAUGAUUUAAUGGAACAAUUUCUUUUGUUAAAAUUGUUUUCUGCAGUUGUUGACAUGUGCCUGAACCGAACUAACAGAUUUGCUCACUUUAGCCUGAAUUUUUUAUGCAAACGUGGAAAGACUGCUGAUGUUUUCUACGAAAAUAAUAUGUGUUAAUUUACUUUCUUGGCUCUUUCAAAGUUUUUCUCUUUCUAACAUGUUCUUUAAUUUUGAUUUUGUUGCUUCACGGUGGACUGAGUUUAACAAUAAGGGACAAAGUCAUAUUUUCAAAUGAGUGUAAUUUUAAGCUCAUGAAAUUGAAUGAUUAGGUAUUUGGAAAUCUGUAUCAAUGACAAAAAUCAUAAUUGCCUACUAGUCUAAAAAUUUGUCUUAAUACUUGAUAUUUUUCUCUUAUUCCUGACAUUUGUGUGAUAAAUGGAAGGCAAUUUAACUCUGAAAUCCGAGAUAUAACUUUGUCACUCCAUAUCUCCUCAUACAUUCCUAUUUUUAUUUUUUACCUUCACUGUAAUCUCUCUUUUUCAUUCUCCCUUUUGAGGUGAAAAUAACUGUAAAAGUUCAGGCUCUAUUCAUUGUACUACUACUUACCAACAGUUUUAGGUGUUCCAUAUACCUAAAAUUGUUUUGUGUUUCAAUAAUUAAUUUAAGUUCAAAAUCACCAAGUGCCAAAUUAUGCAAAAACGAAUAAUUAUCAUGAAUCUUUGCUGAACCUAAAAAUUUAGCAGUCUAAAAUAAGGGUGAAAUUUCUUCAUAACCAUUCUGUGCUUCUUUUUUAUCAUCAUCAUUAGUACAUAAUAUUCAAUCUACUUAUCAUCACACCUAAGCAUCAUUUAUUUUUUAAUAACCGUGUGCCUUAAUGUAAUAUGAACACUAACCAUAAUUCC